CUUCCUCAUGUGUUGCCGCCUCACUCUCCUCUCCCUCAUAUCACCAUGAAUGAAACUCCAUUAAAGCUUGUUUCAAGCUUUUAAAUCCCCCAUUAAACCCUAAGUUCUUCCCCAAUCACUCCAUAAAACCUUAUUUCCUUCCCUUGAGAAAGAAAUUUAGCAAGAAAGAAAGAAGAGAAGAGGAGAAAAAUUGAAGAUUUAAAUCUACAAAUUGAGGUAAGUGCAAUUUCAAGUUUAGAUUCUUAUUGAAUUCAUGAAUUUAAGUUUAUGUGUGAUGAAAUUGC
rnacentral:misc_RNA from 1 species